CAGGAAUAUACAUACAGAUCAAACUGUUCAUCUGUCUGUGGACAUUGUAAAAAUGGUACUUCAUGUUCAAAGACCAAUGGAAUCUGUAAACAGGGGUGUGAGCUCGGAUGGGAGGGCCCCCUCUGUCUGAACGUUACGUCGUCAGCUGUUGAGAGUGUGUUACAAGAAGAAUUAAACUUUUGGAAGACGCUAUUUGUCAUCGUUUCCAGUAUCUCGGCGUUUCUUGCUGUAACUCUUAUAAUAGUAUGCUCAAGAUUUUUUCACACCAGAAGGAAGAGACGUGUUCAAUAUAUAAACAGAAAGCCCCUAUCUAUUGUAGGAAAUGUACAUGAUUAUGAUCGAAUAACUGCGACAGAUAAUAGAUAUACUUAUAACAAUUUUGAUUCCACAUUACAAAACUACAGGCAUGCAUAUAACAGUGGUAAUUCAACAUUAAGAAGCAACAGAAAUACCUAUGAUCAAGUGGAUUCCACACUAGAAGAUCCGGACUAUGUGGAAAUUCAUUUAUAAAAUGAACACUUGGACAAAAGUUAGGGAGAGAGAGAGAGUGUGUGUUUGUGUUGAUUAUGAUAAUGAUGGCGAAAAUGAUUAUGGUAAUGCUGUAGAGUGUCUUCCUUCACUUUAUCAGAAACAAGCCGUUGUUGGAAACAAUGUUUCUCUAGCGGCAUUGUUUUCUAUUAGAAAUGUCUAUAACAUUUAGGACAAAAAUACUUAUAAUGCAUUGUUCAAUGUACACCUAGGCGUAUGGCUUCUGUAUGAUAAAAUAUAUGGAGAUAGCAAACAGUUUUCAAGUUUAAAGUCCAUUAAACGAUGCAAAAUAGGAGCAGAGUAAACACGGACCUCUAAAAUAUCAGAUGUGGGAUCAGGUGCAGUGAAGGAGUGGGCAUUUCCUAUCGAUCAAUUACAACCACCGCGUGCUCCUUGUCAUGGUUGGGAACUAACAGAGAAAUAUGUCGAUAAUGCAGUGUUAUAAAAAUGUUUUAACAGUUAGUAUAAAAAAAGUCAGACAGCAGAUAAGUUGUAUUGCUGACAAGGUCAUUGUAUCGAUAUCGACAUAGAACUUAAGAAGAAAUUACUUUAAACGAGACUGUUGAUAUUUUUGUUUCAUCAACUUGUCUGUCAAUAAUUAACAUCGUUUUAGAAAUUGUUCAUACAUAGAGCAUUCUAUUGUGUAUCGAAUCAACUGAUAUAUCUAAUCUCCGUUCGGAGAUUAUUGAGGUAUACUGCUGUAUAAGUAAGGAAAUGACGA